UACGGAGGGUGCAAGCGUUGUCCGGAUUUACUGGGCGUAAAGGGCAGGUAGGCGGCCUGUUGUGUCGGGUGUGAAAUCCCACGGCUCAACCGUGGAACUGCGCCCGAAACUGGCAGGCUUGAGUGCGGGAGGGGGAGGUGGAAUGCCCGGUGUAGGAGUGAAAUCCGUUGAUAUCGGGUAGAAUACCUGUGGCGAAGGCGACCUCCUGGCCCGUUACUGACGCUCAACUGCGAAAGCGUGGGGAGCAAACAGG
rnacentral:rRNA from 1 species